rnacentral:rRNA from 1 species
GACGAACGCUGGCGGCGUGCUUAACACAUGCAAGUCGAACGGUAAGGCCCUUCGGGGUACACGAGUGGCGAACGGGUGAGCAACACGUGGGUGAUCUGCCCUGCACUUCGGGAUAAGCCUGGGAAACUGGGUCUAAUACCGGAUAGGACCACUGCCUGCAUGGGUGGUGGGGGAAAGCUUUUGCGGUGUGUGAUGGGCCCGCGGCCUAUCAGCUUGUUGGUGGGGUGAUGGCCUACCAAGGCGACGACGGGUAGCCGGCCUGAGAGGGUGACCGGCCACACUGGGACUGAGAUACGGCCCAGACUCCUACGGGAGGCAGCAGUGGGGAAUAUCGCACAAUGGGCGCAGGCCUGAUGCAGCAACGCCGCGUGAGGGAUGACGGCCUUCGGGUUGUAAACCUCUUUCAGCACCGACGAAGCGCAAGUGACGGUAGGUGCAGAAGAAGGACCGGCCAGCUACGUGCCAGCAGCCGCCGUAA